rnacentral:misc_RNA from 1 species
AUAUGAUCAGAAGAGAGGGACCUUUUGGAAAGUAAUGGCAGCGUCAACUUCAGGAAUUACUACAAUUGCAAACACUUACUGGGACCUUGUCAUAGAUUGGGGUCUGUUGCAAAGGAAUUCCAAAAACCCCUGGUUGAGAGACAAGCUACUUGUUCCACACAAGAUUGUCUACUUUGUUGCCAUUGUUCUUGACAUUAUUCUGAGACUAGUAUGGAUGCAGUUGGUUCUAGAUUUUCAAGAACUACCUCAUCUGCACAAGAAAGCUUUUCUUGCAAUUGUUGCCUGUUUGGAAAUCCUUCGCCGAGGCUUGUGGAACUUUUUCAGGUUG